CCUACGGGAGGCACCAGUGGGGAAUAUUGCACAAUGGGCGCAAGCCUGAUGCAGCCAUGCCGCGUGUAUGAAGAAGGCCUUCGGGUUGUAAAGUACUUUCAGCGAGGAGGAAGGCAUUAAGGUUAAUAACCUUGGUGAUUGACGUUACCCGCAGAAGAAGCACCGGCUAACUCCGUGCCAGCAGCCGCGGUAAUACGGAGGGUGCAAGCGUUAAUCGGAAUUACUGGGCGUAAAGCGCACGCAGGCGGUCUGUCAAGUCGGAUGUGAAAUCCCCGGGCUCAACCUGGGAACUGCAUUCGAAACUGGCAGGCUAGAGUCUUGUAGAGGGGGGUAGAAUUCCAGGUGUAGCGGUGAAAUGCGUAGAGAUCUGGAGGAAUACCGGUGGCGAAGGCGACCCCUGGACAAAGACUGACGCUCAGGUGCGAAAGCGUGGGGAGCAAACAGGAUUAGAUACCCCUGUAGUC
rnacentral:rRNA from 1 species